UGGGGAAUAUUGCACAAUGGGCGCAAGCCUGAUGCAGCCAUGCCGCGUGUGUGAAGAAGGCCUUCGGGUUGUAAAGCACUUUCAGCGAGGAGGAAGGCGUUAAGGUUAAUAACCUUAGCGAUUGACGUUACUCGCAGAAGAAGCACCGGCUAACUCCGUGCCAGCAGCCGCGGUAAUACGGAGGGUGCAAGCGUUAAUCGGAAUUACUGGGCGUAAAGCGCACGCAGGCGGUUUGUUAAGUCAGAUGUGAAAUCCCCGAGCUUAACUUGGGAACUGCAUUUGAAACUGGCAAGCUAGAGUCUUGUAGAGGGGGGUAGAAUUCCAGGUGUAGCGGUGAAAUGCGUAGAGAUCUGGAGGAAUACCGGUGGCGAAGGCGGCCCCCUGGACAAAGACUGACGCUCAGGUGCGAAAGCGUGGGGCAGCAAACAGGAUUAGAUACCCUGGUAGUCCAGCGCUGUAAACGAUGUCGAUUUGGAGGUUGU
rnacentral:rRNA from 1 species